AUUGAACGCUGGCGGCAUGCCUUACACAUGCAAGUCGAACGGCAGCACGGGAGCAAUCCUGGUGGCGAGUGGCGAACGGGUGAGUAAUAUAUCGGAACGUGCCCAGUAGUGGGGGAUAACUGCUCGAAAGAGCAGCUAAUACCGCAUACGCCCUGAGGGUGAAAGGGGGGGAUCGCAAGACCUCUCGCUAUUGGAGCGGCCGAUAUCAGAUUAGCUAGUUGGUGGGGUAAAGGCCUACCAAGGCAACGAUCUGUAGUUGGUCUGAGAGGACGACCAGCCACACUGGAAAUGAGACACGGCCCAGACUCCUACGGGAGGCAGCAGUGGGGAAUUUUGGACAAUGGGCGCAAGCCUGAUCCAGCAAUGCCGCGUGCAGGAAGAAGGCCUUCGGGUUGUAAACUGCUUUUGUCAGGGAAGAAAUCCUCUAGGUUAAUACCCUUGGGGGGAUGACGGUACCUGAAGAAUAAGCACCGGCUAACUACGUGCCAGCCGCCGCCGUAACAC
rnacentral:rRNA from 1 species